rnacentral:pre_miRNA from 1 species
UGGAAGACUAAUGAAUUUUGUUGUUGUGUAGUGUGAGAACAAUGAAUCAUUAUCUUCCUGAA